UACAGAGGUCUCAAGCGUUGUUCAGAUUCAUUGGGCGUAAAGGGUGCGUAGGUGGCGAGGUAAGUUGGAUGUGAAAUCCCAGGGCUUAACCCUGGAACUGCAUUCAAUACUGCCUUGCUAGAGUACUGGAGAGGAGAUUGGAAUUUACGGUGUAGCAGUGAAAUGCGUAGAUAUCGUAAGGAAGACCAAUGGCGAAGGCGGAUCUCUGGACAGUUACUGACACUGAGGCACGAAGGCCAGGGGAGCAAACGGG
rnacentral:rRNA from 1 species